rnacentral:rRNA from 1 species
UUAAGCGACUAAGCGUACACGGUGGAUGCCCUGGCAGUCAGAGGCGAUGAAGGGCGUGCUAAUCUGCGAUAAGCGCCGGUAAGGUGAUAUGAACCGUUAUAACCGGCGAUACCCGAAUGGGGAAACCCAGUGUGAUUCGUCACACUAUCAUUAACUGAAUCCAUAGGUUAAUGAGGCGAACCGGGGGAACUGAAACAUCUAAGUACCCCGAGGAAAAGAAAUCAACCGAGAUUCCCCCAGUAGCGGCGAGCGAACGGGGAGGAGCCCAGAGCCUGAAUCAGCAUGUGUGUUAGUGGAAGCGUCUGGAAAGGCGCGCGAUACAGGGUGACAGCCCCGUACACAAAAGCGCAUGUGCUGUGAGCUCGAUGAGUAGGGCGGGACACGUGGUAUCCUGUCUGAAUAUGGGGGGACCAUCCUCCAAGGCUAAAUACUCCUGACUGACCGAUAGUGAACCAGUACCGUGAGGGAAAGGCGAAAAGAACCCCGGCGAGGGGAGUGAAAAAGAACCUGAAACCGUGUACGUACAAGCAGUGGGAGCACAGGUUUACCUGUGUGACUGCGUACCUUUUGUAUAAUGGGUCAGCGACUUAUAUUCUGUAGCAAGGUUAACCGAAUAGGGGAGCCGGAGGGAAACCGAGUCUUAACCGGGCGUUAAGUUGCAGGGUAUAGACCCGAAACCCGGUGAUCUAGCCAUGGGCAGGUUGAAGGUUGGGUAACACUAACUGGAGGAUCGAACCGACUAAUGUUGAAAAAUUAGCGGAUGACCUGUGGCUGGGGGUGAAAGGCCAAUCAAACCGGGAGAUAGCUGGUUCUCCCCGAAAGCUAUUUAGGUAGCGCCUCGUGAAUUCAUCUCCGGGGGUAGAGCACUGUUUCGGCUAGGGGGCCAUCCCGGCUUACCAACCCGAUGCAAACUGCGAAUACCGGAGAAUGUUAUCACGGGAGACACACGGCGGGUGCUAACGUCCGUCGUGAAGAGGGAAACAACCCAGACCGCCAGCUAAGGUCCCAAAGUCAUGGUUAAGUGGGAAACGAUGUGGGAAGGCCCAGACAGCCAGGAUGUUGGCUUAGAAGCAGCCAUCAUUUAAAGAAAGCGUAAUAGCUCACUGGUCGAGUCGGCCUGCGCGGAAGAUGUAACGGGGCUAAACCAUGCACCGAAGCUGCGGCAGCGAACGUAUCACUUAAAGCGAUUCAGCGGGUUACGAUUGACGGAGCGAAGCGACGUCAAAGCGUAUACAAAGUCGAGUCGGUUUAAGGAUACGUUCGUUGGGUAGGGGAGCGUUCUGUAAGCCUGCGAAGGUGGCCUGUGAGGGUUGCUGGAGGUAUCAGAAGUGCGAAUGCUGACAUAAGUAACGAUAAAGCGGGUGAAAAGCCCGCUCGCCGGAAGACCAAGGGUUCCUGUCCAACGUUAAUCGGGGCAGGGUGAGUCGACCCCUAAGGCGAGGCCGAAAGGCGUAGUCGAUGGGAAACGGGUUAAUAUUCCCGUACUUGGUGUUACUGCGAAGGGGGGACGGAGAAGGCUAUGUUGGCCGGGCGACGGUUGUCCCGGUUUAAGCGUGUAGGUGUGUGUUCCAGGUAAAUCCGGUUCACUUUAACACUGAGGCGUGACGACGAGGCACUACGGUGCUGAAGCAACAAAUGCCCUGCUUCCAGGAAAAGCCUCUAAGCAUCAGGUAACAUCAAAUCGUACCCCAAACCGACACAGGUGGUCAGGUAGAGAAUACCAAGGCGCUUGAGAGAACUCGGGUGAAGGAACUAGGCAAAAUGGUGCCGUAACUUCGGGAGAAGGCACGCUGACAUGUAGGUGAAGUGAUUUACUCAUGGAGCUGAAGUCAGUCGAAGAUACCAGCUGGCUGCAACUGUUUAUUAAAAACACAGCACUGUGCAAACACGAAAGUGGACGUAUACGGUGUGACGCCUGCCCGGUGCCGGAAGGUUAAUUGAUGGGGUCAGCGCAAGCGAAGCUCCUGAUCGAAGCCCCGGUAAACGGCGGCCGUAACUAUAACGGUCCUAAGGUAGCGAAAUUCCUUGUCGGGUAAGUUCCGACCUGCACGAAUGGCGUAAUGAUGGCCAGGCUGUCUCCACCCGAGACUCAGUGAAAUUGAACUCGCUGUGAAGAUGCAGUGUACCCGCGGCAAGACGGAAAGACCCCGUGAACCUUUACUAUAGCUUGACACUGAACAUUGAGCCUUGAUGUGUAGGAUAGGUGGGAGGCUUUGAAGUGUGGACGCCAGUCUGCAUGGAGCCGACCUUGAAAUACCACCCUUUAAUGUUUGAUGUUCUAACGUGGACCCGUAAUCCGGGUUGCGGACAGUGUCUGGUGGGUAGUUUGACUGGGGCGGUCUCCUCCUAAAGAGUAACGGAGGAGCACGAAGGUUGGCUAAUCCUGGUCGGACAUCAGGAGGUUAGUGCAAUGGCAUAAGCCAGCUUGACUGCGAGCGUGACGGCGCGAGCAGGUGCGAAAGCAGGUCAUAGUGAUCCGGUGGUUCUGAAUGGAAGGGCCAUCGCUCAACGGAUAAAAGGUACUCCGGGGAUAACAGGCUGAUACCGCCCAAGAGUUCAUAUCGACGGCGGUGUUUGGCACCUCGAUGUCGGCUCAUCACAUCCUGGGGCUGAAGUAGGUCCCAAGGGUAUGGCUGUUCGCCAUUUAAAGUGGUACGCGAGCUGGGUUUAGAACGUCGUGAGACAGUUCGGUCCCUAUCUGCCGUGGGCGCUGGAGAACUGAGGGGGGCUGCUCCUAGUACGAGAGGACCGGAGUGGACGCAUCACUGGUGUUCGGGUUGUCAUGCCAAUGGCACUGCCCGGUAGCUAAAUGCGGAAGAGAUAAGUGCUGAAAGCAUCUAAGCACGAAACUUGCCCCGAGAUGAGUUCUCCCUGAGACUUAGAGUCUCCUGAAGGAACGUUGAAGACGACGACGUUGAUAGGCCGGGUGUGUAAGCGCAGCGAUGCGUUGAGCUAACCGGUACUAAUGAACCGUGAGGCUUAACCUU